AGAAUUUUAACAAUGAAUAUCUUGGUUUGCAUAUCGAUGAAGGACGCAGCAAAGUGUGAUAAUCAAUGCGAAUCGCAGAAUUCAGUGAGUCAUUUGAUUUCUGAACGCAAAUUGUGUUGCUAUAUUUUUAUAGUAACUUGUUUGUUUCAAAAUCUUA
rnacentral:rRNA from 1 species